AGCCAAGAUAGUUUAGUAAAACAUUAGGUCGUGACCCUAACAACAGAGCAAAAACUCUUCCUGGCC
rnacentral:tRNA from 1 species